rnacentral:rRNA from 1 species
UACAGAGGGUGCAAGCGUUGUUCGGAAUCAUUGGGCGUAAAGGGCGUGUAGGCGGUCUGUUAAGUCAUGUGUGAAAUCCCUCGGCUCAACCGGGGAACGACGCAUGAAACUGACAAGCUAGAGUACCAAAGAGGGGGGUGGAAUUCCCGGUGUAGCGGUGAAAUACGUAGAUAUCGGGAGGAACACCGGUGGCGAAGGCGGAUCUCUGGACAGUUCCUGACGCUGAGGCGCGAAGGCCAGGGGAGCAAACGGG